GGCCUUCGGGUGCUGACGAGCGGCGGACGGGUGAGGAAUGCAUAGGAAUCUGCCUAUUAGUGGGGGAUAACACGGGGAAACUCGUGCUAAUACCGCAUACGUCCUACGGGAGAAAGCGGGGGAUCUUCGGACCUCGCGCUAAUAGAUGAGCCUAUGCCGGAUUAGCUAGUUGGUAGGGUAAAGGCCUACCAAGGCGACGAUCCGUAGCUGGUCUGAGAGGAUGAUCAGCCACACUGGGACUGAGACACGGCCCAGACUCCUACGGGAGGCAGCAGUGGGGAAUAUUGGACAAUGGGCGCAAGCCUGAUCCAGCCAUGCCGCGUGUGUGAAGAAGGCCUUCGGGUUGUAAAGCACUUUAAGUGGGGAGGAAGGUUAGUGGUUUAAUACGCUACUAAAUUGACGUUACCCACAGAAUAAGCACCGGCUAACUCUGUGCCAGCAGCCGCGGUAAUACAGAGGGUGCAAGCGUUAAUCGGAAUUACUGGGCGUAAAGCGCGCGUAGGUGGUUUUGUAAGUUGAAUGUGAAAUCCCCGGGCUUAACCUGGGAAUGGCAUCCAAAACUGCACGACUAGAGUAUGGGAGAGGGAGGUAGAAUUCCAGGUGUAGCGGUGAAAUGCGUAGAGAUCUGGAGGAAUACCGGUGGCGAAGGCGGCCUCCUGGCCUAAUACUGACACUGAGGUGCGAAAGCGUGGGUAGCAAACAGGAUUAGAUACCCUGGUAGUCCACGCCGUAAACGAUGAGAACUAGCCGUUGGUCUCCUUGAGAGGUUAGUGGCGCAGCUAACGCGAUAAGUUCUCCGCCUGGGGAGUACGGCCGCAAGGUUAAAACUCAAAUGAAUUGACGGGGGCCCGCACAAGCGGUGGAGCAUGUGGUUUAAUUCGACGCAACGCGAAGAACCUUACCUGGUCUUGACAUCCACGGAAUCCUGCAGAGAUGUGGGAGUGCCUUCGGGAACCGUGAGACAGGUGCUGCAUGGCUGUCGUCAGCUCGUGUUGUGAAAUGUUGGGUUAAGUCCCGUAACGAGCGCAACCCUUGUCCUUAGUUGCCAGCGAGUAAUGUCGGGAACUCUAAGGAGACUGCCGGUGACAAACCGGAGGAAGGUGGGGACGACGUCAAGUCAUCAUGGCCCCUUACGACCAGGGCUACACACGUGCUACAAUGGCCGGUACAGAGGGUUGCCAAGCCGCGAGGUGGAGCCAAUCCCGAAAAGCCGGUCGUAGUCCGGAUUGCAGUCUGCAACUCGACUGCAUGAAGUCGGAAUCGCUAGUAAUCGCAGAUCAGAAUGCUGCGGUGAAUACGUUCCCGGGCCUUGUACACACCGCCCGUCACACCAUGGGAGUGGGUUGCACCAGAAGUAGUUAGCUUAACCGCAAGGGGAGCGAUUACCACGGUGUGAUUCAUGACUGGGGUGAAGUCGAAACAAGGUA
rnacentral:rRNA from 1 species